rnacentral:lncRNA from 1 species
ACUUCUGCUACAGGAUGAUGAUUGACCUGAGACCGGUGGCAUUGGAAAGCUAACUCAAAGCUCUAUCUUGUGUCAAAAGAUGGGCUCAAUAUAAUGGUCGUAAGGUCUCCAUCCAUAGCUAAAUAUCUGACGCGUCUGUGCAACUCCGCACCUCCAAAGGCUCCAAAAGACUCCAAAAUCACCAUAUUUCUCCUAAACGUCCCUGAACCUGUAUAUACUCUAAAUAGACUCCAUAACAUAAUAAUUGUAUCUUAAAACACUUUAAAACACUUAUAGACCAUGAUUAAAAAUGGGUAAAAUAUAUGGUCUAUCAACUCCCUCAGACUUACCCUUUUGCUUGUCCUCAAGCAAAACAGACGGGCAGUCUCUCUGAAAGAGGUUUUAAAAACAGCAGGGACUCACAUGAUUUAAAACUUAGAAUCAUCACCUCUACAAUAUUGCAAUCCACAUCUAAGAAGUCCUAAUCACAAAAGCACAUUAUACAAUAUCCUAGCUUAGCAACCAAAUUCACCUAGCCAACAUCUUAGCAAAUCAUGUCUGAUAUUCUCCUCUACCAACCUCAUUUCUUAAUAUAAAUAAAUGUGUAUGCUUUAUCGAUCACAAGACACAUGGACUCUUACCCCAACAGGUAUCUGAGUAAACAAAUAGUCUUGUUCUGGUUUUUUUACUCUAUAUCUCCCUUCUCUGAAUCUUUUUUAUCUCAAUUCCAAUGAACAAAGAUGCUGAUGCAGUCCAUCUUAUUCACCUUCUUUUCAAUUUUUUUUUAUUAUUAUUAUUUUUUUUAUUAUUAUUUUUUUGCUUUUUCCUUUUCUUGACAAAGUGUAGGCGAAUAGUGGGGUCAUCGGUAAUGUACCUACCCCUCGCUUCCAACAAUGUGUGAUCAUUCUAUUAGAGUAGAAUAAUGGGGUCAUCGGUAAUGUACCUACCCCUCUAAACCGCAAGAAAUCAUCUCAAUCUUUUAUUUUAUUUUAUUAGGAUGCCAAAGGGAGGAGAUAAGGAAACCAAAAUCACUCAGACUUUUACCUUUCAGACCUAAAGGAGGAAUCCGAUCCAGUGUAUACCAAGCCCCAAGACAAGCAGUUAAGUCAAAUUAGGUUGGAGGUCAGCUUCGGUUCCUUCAAACAAUCUCAGCAAGUGUGAACAUAGUUGACAGGUUGAUCCACUUUAGUAUCUUUAGUACUAUCUGCAAUCAGUAAGUCUAGAAUGGUGCGAAAGAGUGGUUAGAUAACAAGCAUGAAUCUGAUAAGUUCAUUAUCCCCUUCUUGACUCAAUAAAAACAGUUUUUGAAAAUAUUUUAAAUAAGACUCAUAAAGGU